AGUAUCUUUCAGAGCCACCCGGUGAAUGGAACUGAAAUGCUACAGGAGUUUGCUUUGGGAUGCUGACUGGAGAAGUUUCAAAGGAUCUGGGGACAAGGAGUGAAGAAAGGAGCAAAAGGAAGAAGACCAGAAUCUGAGACAAGGAAUUGUCCCAUGUGCUCGAAGUCUUUGAAGAGCAAAAAUCAAGGAGAGUAAGAAUGGAAGCCACUCAACUACUGCUUCAGAACAAAGUUAGCACGGGCUCCUGAGAAAUGACUAGAAGAUAUGCCUGGGAUUCAAAGGACCUCAGAGCCACCCAUAGCUAAUGUCCCUGUCAUCCAACAGAUGCUGUGGCUUUGGGAAAGAACAGCCUUUCUUGACCUCAAAUCUUUGUGUCUGAAAAAUGAGAGGGGUACCAGAUGCUACCUAAGCAGUCUUCCUACCUAAAAUGUAUGAGUAUAAGAAGAAUGAUCAAUUUUAAUCUCAAAAUACAAUUCUCACCUUUCAGUUACCAAGAUACAGCCCCCUUCCCUUAACCUGAGCUACAACAAAACAUAAGUUCAAUAGAGAAUUGAUUAAUGAGUAUAAAAAGGCAGCCCUGUGUUCUUGUGCUCAGAAUUGGUUGGCUCUGUUCAAUUCAAUGAGCAAGAAGACUGAAUCCUGUACUGUGUUUCAUUAGCAAGUACAAUAGCCCAGUUUUGAUAAAGUGACUCAAAUCACCUGAUCUCUUUUUAUUCCCCAUGUAUUAGCCAAACAUUAUUAUGAAGUAUGCUGUUGCCAGGCUACUAUUUAGAAUGUAUGUUAUAAGACAUGUCUGUAGGACUUUUGAAAUCAUCUUUCAGUUUUAUUCCCAGUAGUCACUUUCUAAGAAUUAAUUUCUCUUUUAUUAUGUGGUAAUAUUAAAGAGACAGUGUGUACAGUGUGUGUACAUAUGACUCACAGCAAAUUAAGAGUAUUGUGCCUUACUCUAUCCAGAGAAUCUCCCUGCCAAUGGUUGCUGCUCCCACCUUUUUCUCUGAGCCACAUCCUUGGCAUCUCACAGCUAGAUUACUGCAAUAGUUCCCCAACAGUCAGCCUGCCUCUCACAUUCUGAUAUGUCCUGGACUUCUUUGAUCAAUCCUGUUAAACCCCUAUGCCAGAGGGAACCCCUGCAUUAGUUUUUCUCAUGCAUUGA
rnacentral:lncRNA from 1 species